rnacentral:rRNA from 1 species
AGUUGAGUAGUAAUACUUAACCUAGAGCGGCGCACGGGUGCGUAACGCGUAUGCAACCUACCUUUUACUGGGGGAUAGCCCGGAGAAAUCUGGAUUAAUACCCCAUGGUAUCUACGAAUCGAUUGGUUUGUAGCUUAAAGAUUUAUCGGUAAAAGAUGGGCAUGCGUCUGAUUAGCUAGUUGGCGGGGUAACGGCCCACCAAGGCGACGAUCAGUAGGGGUUCUGAGAGGAAGGUCCCCCACACUGGCACUGAGAUACGGGCCAGACUCCUACGGGAGGCAGCAGUAGGGAAUAUUGGGCAAUGGUCGCAAGACUGACCCAGCCAUGCCGCGUGCAGGAAGACGGCCCUCUGGGUUGUAAACUGCUUUUAUCUGGGAAGAAAAAGUCCAUGCGUGGAAAAUUGCCGGUACCAGAUGAAUAAGCACCGGCUAACUCCGUGCCAGCAGCCGCGGUAAUACGGAGGGUGCAAGCGUUGUCCGGAUUUAUUGGGUUUAAAGGGUGCGUAGGCGGCUGAAUAAGUCAGCGGUGAAAGACUUCGGCUUAACCGGAGCAGUGCCGUUGAUACUGUUUGGCUUGAGUGUUGGAGGGGUACAUGGAAUUGAUGGUGUAGCGGUGAAAUGCAUAGAUACCAUCAGGAACACCGAUAGCGAAGGCAUUGUACUGGCCAACAACUGACGCUGAGGCACGAAAGUGUGGGGAUCGAACAGGAUUAGAUACCCUGGUAGUCCACACUGUAAACGAUGAUUACUCGCUGUUAUGGUGUAUACUGUAGCGGCCAAGCGAAAGCGUUAAGUAAUCCACCUGGGGAGUACGCCG